rnacentral:rRNA from 1 species
UAAGGAAUAUUGCUCAAUGGGAGAAAUCCUGAAGCAGCAACGCCGCGUGGAGGAUGAAGGGUCUAUGACUUGUAAACUCCUGUAAAGAAGGAAAAAAUUCCCAUUUGAUGGGAGAUGAUGGUACUUCUGGAGUAAGCCCCGGCUAACUACGUGCCAGCAGCCGCGGUAAUACGUAGGGGGCAAGCGUUGUCCGGAUUUACUGGGUGUAAAGGGUGCUCAGGCGGAUUUGUAAGUCAGAGGUGAAAUCUUACAGCUUAACUGUGAAACUGCCUUUGAUACUGCAAGCCUAGAGUAUGGAAGAGAGUGAUGGAAUAUUUGGUGUAGCAGUGAAAUGCGUAGAUAUCAGAUAGAACACCGAUGGCGAAGGCAGUCACUUGGUCCAUUACUGACGCUAAAGCACGAAAGCGUGGGUAGCAAACA